rnacentral:rRNA from 1 species
UAAGGAAUAUUGGUCAAUGGACGAAAGUCUGAACCAGCCAUGCCGCGUGGAGGAUGAAGGCCCUCUGGGUUGUAAACUUCUUUUAUCUGGGACGAAAAAAGGGAAUUCUUUCUCACUUGACGGUACCAGAGGAAUAAGCACCGGCUAACUCCGUG